rnacentral:rRNA from 1 species
GCCCGAGAAAUAAUCUCAGGUGUAACCUGCCCAGUGGCUUUCAAAAAAGAAAUAAAAAUUCUAUAAAAAAGCUAAAAGGACGCGGUAACCUUGACCGUGAUAAUGUAGCAUAAUCACUCGCCAUUUAAUUGGUGGAUAGUAUGAAUGGUUGAACGAAUGUUCCGCUGUCUUAGAAAGAAUCAUAAGAAAUUGAAAUAAUAGUUAAGAUGCUAUUUUUUACUGUAAGACGAAAAGACCCUAUAGAGCUUCACUAUAAUCUAUUUAUUUUAAAAGAAUAACAAUUCUACAUUUAAAUAGAUUGGUAGUUUAGUUGGGGCGACUGUCUUCUAGAAUAAACGAAGAUAAGCAAUGUUAAUAAAAGACUUAUUGUAUAACAAAAAUGUUUAACAAUUAUUAAAAUAGGCUAUAAUGACCCGUUAAUUCUUUAUAAAAAGAUUAACGAUCAAUUAACAAAAGCUACCUUAGGGAUAACAGGAUAAUGUCAUUUUAGAGUUCCGAUCGAAAAUGAAGUUUGUCACCUCUAUGUUGAAUUAAGAUAUCCCGAUAGUGCAGAAGCUAUCAAUGGUAGGUCUGUUCGACCUUUAAAAUCUU